rnacentral:rRNA from 1 species
GACGUAGGGCGCAAGCGUUGUCCGGAUUUAUUGGGCGUAAAGAGCUCGUAGGCGGCUUGUCGCGUCGACUGUGAAAAACCACGACUCAACCGUGGGACUGCAGUCGAUACGGGCAGGCUAGAGUUCGGUAGGGGAGACUGGAAUUCCUGGUGUAGCGGUGAAAUGCGCAGAUAUCAGGAGGAACACCAGUGGCGAAGGCAGGC